AUACGUCACUGGUGUGACUGGGAAAGUCAAUUAUGGCUGCCGGCGGGCUGCCGCCAUCUUUACGCCCGGCGUCGCCAGCGCAUGCGCGUAGCGGCCUCGGUGAGCGGUGCGCGCAGUUACCCCGUGUCGUACGCGUGUUGGAUACAGUCGUGUGCAGAGAUGCUGUGCCGGUUGAGCGUUAGGUGGCUGCAGCCGCGACCUGCCCUGCAGCUCCGGGGCUUGGGCCCACCGGUCGUACCGGCCCCCACCGGCGGCGCCAAGCCCUCCGCUCUGCCAUUGUGGGCGGUGGCAUCAGUCUCUGCAGUUGGCCCGAGCGGCGCGGGUGGCUGGUAUGAAGCCCUGGCUACGUCGGCGCCGGUGCAGGGCGCCGAGGACGUACUGCUCUUUGCGCACACCGCCUCGGGCCUACCCUGGUGGGGCAGCAUUCUUCUCACCACCGUGGCCCUGCGCGGCGCUGUCACGCUGCCCUUGGCCGCCUACCAGCACUACAUCCUGGCCAAGGUGGAAAAUUUGCAGCCAGAAAUAAAAAGCAUUGCAAGGCACCUUAACCAAGACGUUGCAGUUCGUGCAAAUCAGUUGGGGUGGUCCAAAAGAGCUGCCAGGCUCACUUAUCUAAAGACUAUGCGGAGGCUUGUUUCAGAACUGUAUGUUCGGGAUAACUGCCACCCUUUCAAAGCCACUGUGUUGGUCUGGAUUCAGCUUCCAAUGUGGAUAUUCGUGUCUGUUGCUCUCCGGAAUUUUAGCACAGGGGCAACACAUUCAGAAGGUUUUUCUGUUCAGGAGCAGUUAGCUACUGGUGGGGUCCUAUGGUUUCCUGACCUCACUGCCCUGGAUUCCACUUGGAUUCUGCCUGUCUCCAUUGGUGUCAUCAACUUAUUAAUAGUGGAGAUUUUUGCUCUGCAAAAAGUUGGAAUGUCUCGUUUCCAGACAUAUAUUACGUACUUUGUUCGUGCACUAUCAGUGUUGAUGAUUCCAAUUGCAGCGACAGUACCUUCAUCGAUUGUUCUCUACUGGUUAUGCUCCAGCCUCAUGGGCCUUUCACAGAACUUGCUGCUGCGUUCUCCUAGAUUUCGCCAACUUUGUCGAAUACCGUUGACCAAGUCAGAUUCAGACACUCCUUAUAAAGACCUCUUUGCUGCCUUUUACGCCAAGUUUAUUUCAAGAAAAUGACAUACUUUCUAGUGAUUUUGAAACAAUUACAAGUUUCACUGUUAAUGUAUUUAGAAGAUUUAGAAAUUCAGAUAUGGUUUAAUUUGCUUUUUAAAAUCAUGAGCUCUGUGAAGUACUGUGGAUUAAGAUAUAAUCCAGAUAUAUUUGAUAGUACUUAAAAUCUUUUAAGUGCUAAAAAUGUAGUAUGUUCAGUUAUAUAAAAGUGGGAUCAAAGUGUCGGGCCCUGUUUAUAAAAUUACAACUUGCGAGAGGUGCUAGAACUUUGGAGAACAGGACUAGAGAAGUUUUAUAAAAUAAAAGAAUCCAGUGAAGUGAUUUUUAAAAUUUUGAGGGUGUGGAGGAUCAUAGACCCGGUUGAUCAUUUAAUAAAGCCAUGGUUUUCUCUUCAGAAAAGUCCUGGAACUCACAACAUGGAGGCCUUUAUUGACCCCCCUUCUGGUAAUUCCUGGUUAAUAAGUAUUAUUCUAAUGGAACAUACAUCGAUGAUGAGUUAAUGUGUGAUUUUAAAAUGAAAAGGACUUGAGGUACAUGCAGUGGAGUAGUCCACGCAUGUAAGAAAGUACCUAAUAGGGUAGGUAGUGUUGCUUCUCAACCUUGCUCUGAAGGAAUACAAAAAUUGUACAUUUCCUUUCUCUGUAAUUUAAGGAGUCUAGAAUACAGAGCAUAGAACUAAGUACUGCUAGAGCCCAAAGUAGAAAAUCUUAAGCUAAUCAUAUAGAAUAUGAAGGAACCCAAUAUCUCGGAUAAUCCUUUAAGAAAGUGAAAAACUGGUACUAGGGUCAAGGUUAUGCUAAUUGGGAGACUCCUUUAGACCUGUACACCUUGGUAUGAUAAUGCAUAACAUUAAAUUGGUCUGAGGAUCUUAUAUUUUACAAAAUUCUUAAUUUCAUAGCUUGGAAAAAAGGAUCAAAGUAAAUUUUAAAAGCUCAAAAGAUCAGGAUAGUAUUUAGCAAGUUUUAAAAAUAAUGACUGAAUACAUGAAGUUACAUUAGUUACACUAUUACUAGAAAUUAAAUAGUAGGUGAAGAAUCAUCUCAUUCAGCCAGAGAGCAUGCAUAUGAACAUUGUGUAUUCAGUCAUUAGAGAAUAUAGGUAGAUCACAUAAUUGUGAAAUAAGCUUGUUGUGCAGAAUUCUGGAGACAGAGCUGUUUGAGUCUUUCCUGUCAUCUCAAAGUACAGUAGACCCUUCUGUCUUCCUAGCCCCAAAGCCACAACCAUUAAGAGCUUCAAACUGUCAGCAGCUAGAAUCCCAACAAACAGCUGAACCAGACUUCAUUAGAUAAGGACUAACAUAGCCACAGGGAAUGAUUCUGUGACUCUUGAACAUAUUAACUUGACUGUAGUCGUUUGUGGAAUACAGUUUCAAAGUAAAAGGGACUAUUAGAAAACUUUGAACUUUAUUUGGUAAUUGUAUUGCUCUUGUUAAUAUUGCAUUGCUGUUUUGGAACUCUUAUUGUCAGGUAAAAUAUAUAAUGAUGUUUACUGGUAUAUUUGUUUUCUGUGGAUGCUGUUAACAAAAUCUUUAUGCUGCUUAUGCACCAGGAGGAAGAUGCUAUUGAAUGUAUUUGAUAUUAUAAGAUAUAUCUCUUUCAAAUUUUUCUUUUAAGAGAGAGAUUUAGGGAUUGCCCCUGAGGUCCUACAAAAGAGGGUCCUCCCCACAGUUCUCCACCGGUAUACUCAGAAAGCCUAGCCUUCAUAUCUGUUUCACCUAAGACCUUCCACAAUCUCAGUUAAGAACUGAUGAAAUAAAAUUCAUGUUUUACGGCAAGAUGAGAAAAGUUUAAACAUAAAUUUUUUCUUUGUCCCUUUGGGCCUCCUCCCUCCCCUUUAGCAGGUAUUGUGCAUCUGCAUUAACCAGAGCUCUUUAGGAGAUGACAUUCCUUAAUCUCAUUAAGGGACACUGACUCUUAGGAGAUAACCUUCCUUCUUGUAAGGGACCAUGAUGACUCAUGACCCACUGUUUGCUUUGUACCUGUAGGUCUGGAUUGUGUAAACUGUUAAUAAUAUGUCGUAUGACAUAAACCCUUUGUCUCAAAAACGUACAUAACUGUGCUUUGACCCCUAAUUGGCAGAACAGUCCCCAGAGCUUUCUGAAAGUCUACCUCUCAGAAUAUAAUCCUCAAAUUGGCUUGAAAUUUUUGCAUUUUUUUCCUUAAACUGUUGAUGAAUUUUUCUGUUGACAGAGCUGUACAUAAAAGCACUUUGAUCCUGGUUGAUUCCUGUCCAUAGGAACCACAAGGCCUGGCAGUUACCACAAAAAAAAGAAAAAAAAAUACCAGCUGAGGAAUGGCAGCAGAAGAGAUUAAACCAAGAAAGCACUUUUACACAGAAGCCUUGCCUAGUUCUUAGAGCAGUAACUUUUGCUUUGCUGUAACUUGAACAUGAGAGAGAUCCGACACAACUGUCCCAAAGGAAUAUGUAACAAGAGAACCCUGUUCCCUUGUAUUCUCACUGACUACCUUCUUGACUGCCCAGUUUUUACCUGCAUUUCUGCAUGUUCCAACGGUAGUACAAUUGAUAAUUUGAGGAAUUUCUUCUAAUUAUAACCUCAAACUUCCUGGCUUUUCUGUGAGUGAUGGAUGCUUCUGAGGGGUAGGUCUCCUUGAGAAGGUGACUUUAGAGUGAAAACUUGAAGAUGAGGGAGCAACCCUGUGUACACCUUGAGGAAGAGACUUCCAGACAGCAGGAGCGCUCUUUGCAAAGGCCCUGAGGCAGGAGCAUGCUUGGCAUAUUUGAGGAACAGUGAGGAGUCAAGGACAAGUUAAAUAUUGGAGAGGAUCAUCAAAGGAGUAAGUCCUUCCCUUGAGAGCAGUUGAGGAUACGAGAGGGUCAUCUCUGUCUGCAAGCAACAUUCUUCUCCAGGUGAUCCAUUUAUGUAUUUUUCUAGUCCACAAUCCUAGAAGUAAACUAUAAAUAAGGAGCAACUGUUGUAAAAAUACUUUUUAUACUCUUUCAGUGUUGGCUUGUUAUCUCUGGGAAGGAAAAUUUUGCUACUGAAAUUUCAUGUUUGUCACUCUGAAAGUGGGUUGGAAUCAGCCUGGCUGCUGAUGGGACUAUACCGACGUUUCCAGUUGGGAGUCAGUGUCUGAGGCAUAUGCUGCUCUUCAUGCCCUGCUCUUAUCUCUCGGGCAAGCCUCACUAUUUCAGUGAGACCAGCCAUAUCUGCCAGUAUUUUCUCCAAAGACAAGGAUGUCUACUUUGCCUGGGCAUAUGGCAGGUGGAAGGGCCAGGGGAUUGACACUCCAGGAGUAGCCCUCACCAAUGACUGUUGGAGUUGGUGGAUGAGUUCUUGAACUUCUUUACUCCUUGGGUGAGAAGAUAUUCAUUUACACUCUUUUCCCAUGGGAACCAUCCCAGUCACUCACAUGGGACUGGCUUGAUAAUUCACCUUUAUUGGCUGACUUAUCUUCCUUGGCUCCUUUCCCCUACUCCCCCUCCAGUGUUUGGGGUCACCUCUCAAGUAAAUGGCUUGCAUUAAAAAUUCUUGUUUCAGAGUCUGCUUUGGGGGGAGCCAAACUGAGGCAGGGUGUCAGUGGCUUUCUUUUGUAAUUUAUUUAUUUUCCAGCUUAAUUGACAUAUAAUUGACACACAAUUGUGUAAGUUUAAGGUGAAAAAUGUAUUGAUUUGAUAACACAUAUAUAUUGCAUCUUUCAUGUUUUCAUCACAAUACAGAUCAUAAGAGAUUUGAUGCAAAUGGGAAAGGAUGGGAUUUAUGGGGGAACUGGAAAGAAGAAUGUCCAUUCAUUUUAAUUACAAACAUGUUAUUUAAUACAGGCAUACCUUGGAGAUAUGGCAGGUUUGGUUCCAGACCACCGCAAUAAAGUGAAUACAGCAGUAAAGCAAGUCACACGAAUUUUUUGUAUUCCCAGUACAUAUAUAAAAGUUAUGUUACAUUGUACUGUAGUGUAUUAAGUGUGCAACAGCAUUAUGUCUAAAAAAAUAAUAUACAGACCUUAAUUAGAAAAUACUUUAUUGCUAAAAAAUGCCAACCAUAUUCUGAGCCCUCAGUGAGUCCUAAUCUUUUUGCUGGUGGAGGCUCUUGCCUCGAUGCUGACGGCUGCUCACUGAUGAGGGUGGUGGCUGCUGAAGCUUGGGGUGGCCGUGACAGCUUCAUAAAAUAAGACACCAGUGAAGUUUGCUGCACUGAUUGACACUUCCUUCCACAGACAAUUUCUCUGCAGCAUGUAAUGCUGUUUGACAGCAUUUUACCCAUAGUAGAACUUCUUUAAAAAUUAGAGUCAAUCCUUUCAAACCCUGCUGCUGCUUUAUCAACUAAGUUUAUGUAAUACUGUAAAUCCUCUGUUGGCAUGUCAAUAAUUUUCACAGCAUCUUCACCAGGAGUAGAUUUUAGCUCAAGAAACUACUUUCUUUGCUCAUCCUCAUUCAUUAAAAUUUUAUCGUGAGAUUGCAGCAAUUCAGCCACAUCUUCAGGCUCCACUUCUAAUUCUAGUUCUCUUGCUAUUUCUGCCACAUCUGCAGUCACUUCCUCCACUGAAGUCUUGAACCCCUUAAAGUCAUCAAUGAGGGUUGGAAUCAACUUCUAAACUCUUGUUAAUGUUGGUAUAUUGACCUCUUCCCAGGAAUCACAAAUGUUGUUAAUGGCAUCCAGAAUGAUGAAUCCUUAUCAGAAGGUUUUCAGUUGACUUUGUCCAGAUCCAUCAGAGGAAUCACUAUGGCAGCUAUAGCCUUAUGAAAUUUACUACUUAAAUAAUAAGACUUGAAGUUGAAAUAACUUGUUGAUCCAUGGGAUGCAGAGUGGAUUUUUAUUUGUUAAUAGACAUGGAAACAGCAUUAAUCUGUUGUAACACCUCCAUCAGAGCUGUUGGGUGAUCAGGUGCAUUGUCAUUGAGCAGUAGUAUUUUGAAAGGAAUUUUUUCUGAGCAGUAGAUCUCAACAGUGGGCUUAAAAUAUUCAGUAAAUCAUGUUGUCAACAGAUGUGCUGUCAUCCAGGCUUUGUUAUUCCAUUUAUAGAGUACAGGCAGAGUAGAUUUAGCAUAAAUCUUUUUUUUUCUUUAGCAUAAUUCUUAAGGGCAGUAAAGUUUUCAGAAUGGUAAAUGAACAUGGGCUUCUACUUAAAGACACCAGCUGCAUUAGCCCCUAAUAAGAGAGUCAGCCUGUCUUUGAAGCCAGGCAUUGACUUCUCCUCUUUAGCUAUGAAAGUCCUAGAUGGCAUCUUAUUCCGAUAGAAGGCUGUUUUAUCUACAUCGAAAAUCUGUUGUUUAGUGUAGCCACCCUCAUUUAUGAUCUUAGCUAGAUCUCCUUGAUAACUUGCUGCAGCUUCUACAUCAGCACCUGCUGUUUCACUUUGCACUUCUAUCUUACGGAGACAGCUUCUUCCCUUAAACCUCAUGAACCAACCUCUGCUAGCUUCAAACCUUUCCUCUGCAGCUUCCUCACCUCUCUCAGCCUUCACAGAAUUGAAGAGAGUUAGGGCUUUGCUCUGGAUCAGGCUUUGGCUUAAAGAAAUGUUCAUGGCACCCCAAAACAAUUACAAUAGUAACAUCAAAGUCACUGAUCACAGAUCAUCAUAACAAAUAUAAUAAUAAUGAAAAAGUUUGAAAUAUUUAGAGAAUUACCAAAAUGUGAUACAGAGACACAAAGUGAGCAAAUGCUGUUUAAAAAAAAAUGGCACUGAUAGACUUGCUUGAUGCAUAGUUGCCACAAACAUUCAAUUUGUUAAAACACGGCAUCUGUGAAACAAUAAAGCAAAGGGCAAUAAAAUGAGGCAUACCUUUACUAGGUGCCAGACACUGGGCUAAACACUGGUGGCAUAAGACAUGGGUCCUGCCCUGGAGAGACUCACAUUCUAUUAGGAAACACAGACAUAGCAAUCCUUCAUUAAAAUCCAAGGUGACCCAUGACUUAUUUAAGCAAACUGAGUGCAAAGUACUUAUGGGAGUACAGAUGGGAAAGAAGUCCAGAAGGCUGGUGGAGGUGUACUUCAAAUUCUGUGAUAUUUCUACUAAAGGAUGAGUAGGACUUUGGUAGAAUAAGGUUGAGAAGAGCCUUCUAAGCAGGGAAAACAUCUUGCGUAGAGCUUGAAGAUGCGUGAAGUGUUUGAACAGUUGGAGAAAAGUUUAUUGUGGGGUAGAAAAGUGGCAGGAGAUAAGGCUGAGAGAGUGGAAGAGCCUGAACAUGUAAGUUGUAGAACAGAUGAUAGCAUGGGGAAGGACUUGAUGCAUCAGAAAAAGCAAGUGCCAUCAUGCCUUGUUCCAACACUGCCUUUUCUGUAUGUCUCCAGGGCAAGAGAAAAGGGAGAGAAGAAGAAAAUUCACAAGAGAGGCUGUGUAUUUUCAGCUACCAUUCAUGAAUGAUGAUCAGUUGCCAGGCCCUUCCCAAACCUUAUCCCAUUUUAUCCUCUUGAGAAGCCUUUGAGAUAGGACUAUUAAGACCUUUCACUGGUGAGGACAUUGAGGAUCAGAAGAGGUCUAGAGAAUUUUAAAGUUCAGAGUUCAUGAUUGCCUGAUUCCAAAGCCAUUAACCACUGCAUUAUACUACUUCUCUUUUCGAAGAAGCAAAUGUGGGGUGGACAGAAGUUGCUGUGAUUGUUAUUGUCUGGAUUGGUGCAACAGCUAGGUGGAGGCCACUGAAAGGAGAGGCCCAGUUGCUGACUUCUGCUUAUCUGGGGCAACAAAGAAACCAGAAGGAGUAGCCAUCAUGUUGAAAGUCAUUUGUUUUUAUUAUUUACUUUGGUGAAGUCUCCAAGAAGUAUUUUGGAUUUGGAGUAUUUGUUUGUUCAAUAAAUUCAUUCUUAGCAAUUGCUAAAAUCAUCCAACGGAGGAAGAAAGAAUAAAAAAUUAACUUAAGUCACAACAAUGGCAAUGCCAGUGCUAUAGAGCAAGUGAGUUUUGGCCUGUGGUUAAUCACUUCCUCUAAGAGCCCUCAUACAGUACCACCGUUAAUUCUACAGCACUUCAAAGUUUAUCUUUUCUUUUGUAAAAGCCUUAAAUAAACAAAAUCAUAGCUUUUCUGCUAUGUUCCCAGCA